rnacentral:piRNA from 1 species
UGAGGGAUGAGUAGGAGUUUCCCAGG